rnacentral:rRNA from 1 species
AGGACGAACGCUGGCGGCGUGCUUAACACAUGCAAGUCGAGCGGAAAGGCCCUUCGGGGUACUCGAGCGGCGAACGGGUGAGUAACACGUGAGCAAUCUGCCUUUAGCUCUGGGAUAGCUCCGGGAAAACCGGGAUUAAUACCGGAUAAGACCACUUUAGACAUCUGUUGUGGUGGAAAGAAUUUCGGCUAGAGAUGAGCUCGCGGCCUAUCAGCUUGUUGGUGGGGUAACGGCCCACCAAGGCGACGACGGGUAGCCGGCCUGAGAGGGCGACCGGCCACACUGGGACUGAGACACGGCCCAGACUCCUACGGGAGGCAGCAGUGGGGAAUAUUGCGCAAUGGGCGAAAGCCUGACGCAGCGACGCCGCGUGGGGGAUGAAGGCCUUCGGGUUGUAAACCCCUUUCAGCAGGGACGAAGCGAAAGUGACGGUACCUGCAGAAGAAGCGCCGGCUAACUACGUGCCAGCAGCCGC